AGAAGUAAAAGUCGUAACAAGGUUUCCGUAGGUGAACCUGCGGAAGGAUCAUUAAUUUGAAGGAACAUGUUUCUCGGCAUGAUAAUUCAAAACCCCACCUGCGUAUUUUACCUGUUGCUUCCGUGCUGCACAUGCCGCAGAGGCGUGCCUCCUGCCGGAUCCUCCUGGGGUACGGAGUAGCCUCCGGGCCCUGGGGGAGGAGGAGUCGGCACGGGAGGUUAACCAUAAACUCUUGCCUUUGAAUGUCUUCUGUCUGAACUGUAGAAAAUUAAACAGUUAAAACUUUCAACAACGGAUCUCUUGGUUCUCGCAUCGAUGAAGAACGCAGCGAAAUGCGAUAAGUAGUGUGAAUUGCAGAAUUCCGUGAAUCAUCGAAUCUUUGAACGCACAUUGCGCCUCCUGGUAUUCCGGGAGGCAUGCCUGUUCGAGCGUCACCAAAAUCAACUCAAGCACUUUUGCAUGGUCAUGGAGGAAGAGUCCGUCUUGUUGGGCGCUCUCCCCUCCGAAAAUCAACGGCGGAAAGUCACUGGCAACGCGGCGUAGUAGUAUCAUUCGCUGGUGGUCCGUAGUCGUUCCUGCCGUCAAACCCCCCACAAUUCUCUUGAUUGACCUCGGAUCAGGUAGGGAUACCCGCUGAACUUAAGCAUAUCAAUAAGCGGAGGAAAAGAAACCAACAGGGGAUUGCCUUAGUAACUGCGAGUGAAGCGGCAAAAGCUCAAAUUUGAAAUCGGUGUCUACCAAACGCAUCGAGU
rnacentral:rRNA from 1 species